rnacentral:rRNA from 1 species
UUCCGGUUGAUCCCGCCGGAGGCCAUUGCUAUCGGAGUCCGAUUUAGCCAUGCUAGUCGAGCGAGGUUAGCCCUCGCGGCGAACAGCUCAGUAACACGUGGCCAAGCUACCCUGCAGAGGGGGACAGCGUCGGGAAACUGACGGGAAUCCCCCAUACCGGUCUCACGCUGGAAUGCCGAGACCGACAAACGCUCCGGCGCUGCAGGAUGCGGCUGCGGCCGAUUAGGUAGUCGGUGGGGUAACGGCCCACCGAGCCGAUAAUUGGUACGGGGUGUGAGAGCACGAGCCCGGAGACGGAAUCUGAGACAAGAUUCCGGGCCCUACGGGGCGCAGCAGGCGCGAAACCUUUACACUGCACGAACGUGCGAUAAGGGGACUCCGAGUGCGAGGGCAUACAGUCCUCGCUAUUGUGUACCGUAGGGUGGUACACGACCAAGAGCUGGGCAAGACCGGUGCCAGCCGCCGCGGUAAUACCGGCAGCUCGAGUGAUGGCCGAUUUUAUUGGGCCUAAAGCGUCCGUAGCUGGCCCUGCAAGUCCGUCGGGAAAUCCACUCGCCUAACGAGUGGGCGUCCGGCGGAAACUACAGGGCUUGGGACCGGAAGACUUGAGGGGUACGUCUGGGGUAGGAGUGAAAUCCUGUAAUCCUGGACGGACCGCCGAUAGCGAAAGCACCUCAAGACGACGGAUCCGACAGUGAGGGACGAAAGCUAGGGUCUCGAACCGGAUUAGAUACCCGGGUAGUCCUAGCUGUAAACGAUGUUCGCUAGAUGUGGCACAGGCUACGUGCCUGUGCUGUGUCGUAGGGAAGCCGAGAAGCGAACCGCCUGGGAAGUACGUCCGCAAGGAUGAAACUUAAAGGAAU